rnacentral:misc_RNA from 1 species
GAAAUGCGAUAAGUAAUGUGAAUUGCAGAAUUCAGUGAAUCAUCGAAUCUUUGAACGCACAUUGCGCCCGCCAGUAUUCUGGCGGGCAUGCCUGUUCGAGCGUCAUUUCAACCAUCAAGCCCCCGGCUUGUGUUGGGGACCUGCGGCUGCCCGCAGGCCCUGAAAAACAGUGGCGGGCUCGCUGUCACACCGAGCGUAGUAGCAUACAUUCUCGCUCAGGGCGUGCUGCGGGUUCCGGCCGUUAAACGACCUUCAUAACCCAAGGUUGACCUCGGAUCAGGUAGGAAGACCCGCUGAACUUAAGA